rnacentral:rRNA from 1 species
GAGACAGCAGCAGCCGCGGUAAUACAGAGGGUGCGAGCGUUAAUCGGAUUUACUGGGCGUAAAGCGUGCGUAGGCGGCUUUUUAAGUCGGAUGUGAAAUCCCUGAGCUUAACUUAGGAAUUGCAUUCGAUACUGGGAAGCUAGAGUAUGGGAGAGGAUGGUAGAAUUCCAGGUGUAGCGGUGAAAUGCGUAGAGAUCUGGAGGAAUACCGAUGGCGAAGGCAGCCAUCUGGCCUAAUACUGACGCUGAGGUACGAAAGCAUGGGGAGCAAACAGGAUUAGAUACCCCCGUAGUCCCUGUCUCUUAUAA